rnacentral:pre_miRNA from 1 species
AAAAAAAACAAACCCUGGUUUCCGUGUCCAACGUUUGACCCUCCGUCUUAUUUAAAAAAAUUAUGAAAAAAAUUAAAAAGACAAGUCACGUAUAAAAUAUUAAUCAUGUUUUAUCAUCUAACAACAAUAAAAAUACGAAUUAUAAAAAAAAAUCAUAUAAGACGGACAAUUAAAGUUGGACACGGAAACCCAGGGUUUGUCUUUUU